UCUUGGUUCAGGAUGAACGCUGGCGGCGUGCUUAACACAUGCAAGUCGAACGAGCGCCUUCGGGCGCGAGUGGCGGACGGGUGAGUAACGCGUGGGUAACCUGCCCUGUACAGGGGAAUAACAGAGAGAAAUCUCUGCUAAUGCCGCAUAAGCGCACGGCACUGCAUGGUGCUGUGUGAAAAGCUCCGGCGGUACAGGAUGGACCCGCGUCUGAUUAGCUGGUUGGCGGGGUAACGGCCCACCAAGGCGACGAUUGGUAGCCGGAUUGAGAGAUUGAUCGGCCACAUUGGAACUGAGAUACGGUCCAAACUCCUACGGGAGGCAGCAGUGGGGAAUAUUGGGCAAUGGAGGAAACUCCUUACCCAGCAAUGCCGCGUGAGUGAAGAAGGUCUUCGGAUUGUAAAGCUCUUUGAUUGGGGACGAAUAAAUGACGGUACCCAAGGAACAAGCCCCGGCUAACUAUGUGCCAGCAGCCGC
rnacentral:rRNA from 1 species